rnacentral:misc_RNA from 1 species
GUUGUGGCCAGCACGUGCUUCUUCUCAGACCACCUGAAAAACAACGAGUGGCACUACAAAGUAAAAUCGGGACAGGGUGCCAGACAGAUUCUGCAGUUCAGCGGCGACGUCUUAGUGAUGAAAAAUCUUCAAGUUCCUGGGGAUUCCUACGAGCUUAACUGUGUGGAGAGGCGUGGUGAAUAUGCCUUUCUUUUUGAAUCCAACUCCGCAACGAGAAAACAAUACAAGUGUUUUGAAUUUUUGGAGAGAGGCAAGUCUAUUUUACAAAUGCGAGUUUCCUCUUUCUCCGAAAAUACGGAUGUGUGUGAUGAUAGAAAGUUAGUAUUGGAUGAGUGGUUGUUAGUUUCGUAUAAAGAGAUGGACAAAGAAAUUGGACGGUGUCCGUUUAGUGGGGGUUUCAAUUUAAAGAUGCGUGAUUCUGAUGGUAACGCCCAUGGUUGUAACUUCAUGGAACUUCCUAUGAGGCUAGAGAUCGAGUGUAUAGCAGGGGAGGGAAUGACUUUUGACUUCCGGAGGAGUGAAUGUACAUACUUUGUCCCAAUGAAUAUCUAUCAAAAGACUUUUUGUGUUACAAACUGGUAUACAAAAAAUUUCAUAUUUGUGGUUAUCAAAGCCGUUAAUGGCGACGGUAUAUGGAUUAUGAGAGUACCAAAACGAGAUUUGGGUUAUUAUAAUAAUCAGAUCAUAGUGGAAUUGUUUCCCGAUUUGAUUUCGAGUGAAUCGAAUACGAACAGCAACGUAGAGAAAUCGUAUUCUCUAACAUUAGAAAAAGAAGUACAACGAAGUUUUUGUGCAGACGAGUACGAAUCUUGCUCUACAAGGUUGUGUUCUCCAAUGGACAAACGCCAGUGUCCAAAAUCCUGUGGAUCGUGCGAUCCAAAUUCAGUUCUACCAAUCUGCUCAUUUCCUCGAAGGUUUCUUGGCGAAUGGUACUCACGGGAUAUCGAUGGUACGAGGAGGGUCAACAUCAGUGACUCUACUCUCUCUGUCGACGACGUUGGGGAGUUCUCUUGUGUUCAUUUUGAAGAUUCUCCGUCUCGUUCUACGAGAAUGUAUACAACGGAAUCGGUCUACUUUAACGGAUGUAGACCUCGGUACACCUGCGUGUCAUUUAAGCGUCUGGGGAAAUCUGUGCUUGGAUACAGCAUCAGCCAAAGUUUCGUUUGGCCCAUUACUUUAGACAGCCCCGGGAAGACUAUUUGCGACGAAUCCCGCUUUAGACCGGACGAAGAGCCUGUGGGUGACUUGUACCACUCCUACCCAAACUCCUUCAAGCCAAUCAUCUCCGUGUCACGAACUUUCAAAUCCACGUCAUGCGAUUUACCGUCAGUGUUCACUUUCACUGCGCAGUUUGGUGAAAACAAAAGUUGUCCUGGUGAGAUAUAUCAGGAUUGUGUAGACUCAAGUGUAUUUCGCUUAGAGUAUCACAAUUGUAGAUAUGUGACAAUAAAGUCUUUUACCUAUUAUUGUGCAGCAACGUUCAAAGAGAAUUACUGGGAGAAGCUUGUGAUUUUGCAAAGUGCUACGGAGUCCAAAGACUCCAAGUGUUUAUCUUUCUCGACUGUUUAUCCAGAUCGUGCUUUCUUACUUCCUACUAGUCAUUGUGACGUGUACGCCUGGCAGUACGUAGACGCCAACAUUCGCCAAUCGUUGGUUGAAUUCUCGAUACAUUCCACCGGUGAAACUUGUAAAACGAUUCCGACAACGACGUCAGCGACGAUGAUGACAACGACAAGGCUCGAGACACAGUCAUCGCCAACGACGACAGAGAGCUUUCUCACCGGACAACGUAAGCCGGACAUUUCAAUAGAGUCAGCUGUGCAGAGCGACUCCAACGGGGAAAAGGACAAAUAUCAAGAACUCAUUAAAACGACAAAGUCUCCGACCCAGGACGAACCGCCAGACAUUCUAGACCAUAAGCUACAGACAGUAGAAGAGAGAAUCCGCGAAACUAGUCACUCCGAGAGAUGCCACGUUUAUGUUGUCAACUUAAUUUCUGUUGUAUUGUUUUAUUAUUUCAUUGUCUGAAAUGUACGUGUAUUAUAUUCCGGUAGCUGUAAAUAUUGGCAUUCGGGUUUUUUUAUUCAAACAUUUGUUGUUAUUUAUAAUAUCGUUUUGUACACAAGUGCUAUCUUGGCUGUGAACUUUGGCUAAGAGAAAUCAUUUCAUGAAAUUUUAUUCUGUAUCAUACAUAGAAAGGAACAUGAUCGUUCUUUGCUUGGACUUCGUUAAUUUUGUCAAAAACAAAUCAUGAAUUUAUUUAUGAUAUUAUAAUAUUUUUAAGUAAGUUAUAUUUUUUUUAAUUCACACCACCCUAAAAGGUUGUAUACUUUUAAAUUUUGUUUCACAACGUAUUUGAAAAAUAAGACAUCUACAGUGAACUGAAUUGUUGGUUUUUUUUUAGCUGUUUUUGGAGCUGUUCAUUUCCUUAUUAUUUCUUUUUAGUUUUUUUAUACUUAUAAACUUCCUUUGCAUAAUGAAUUCUUAUUAAUUGAUUAAUUCAUUCGUUCAUUCAUUCAUUCGUUCAAAACAUUCUGAACUAAAGAUUGAUUUGCAUUAUUAUAAAUAGAUAUAUUUGAGAUAAGAACACUGAUGAUGCCAGAUCUUUUGAUCCAUCAUUACACCCUUUACCGAUUUCAUUACAACUGUAUAUCGAUAGAUUGUCGGUCCUGAUAUUCUCAAAUUAAAAUUUUUCAAAGACUUUUGUUCUGGGGAUCUUGGUCUUGUUACGUGCCAUUCUCUCAUUAUCGUACAAUCAAACAAAAUGAGAGAGAAAGAAUCAAACGGAAACACACCUGGUACGACUUAUCCUCUAUCGCUUUCAUCCAUUUCAGAAAAUUGAAAAUUAGAUGUAAUCUAAUUCCAUUGCAGUUAUAAAUCAAGCACCUCCUCAUUGUACAGAGAUGUUCUUUGAUGAAAAAACAAAAUCGAUCACGAAGUUUAAUUUUUCCAUUGAGUAAACGUGUUCGUUUGUGUCGCUUGGUAAUCGAAUUUGCUGCGAAAAUGACACAGAAUUGUUUAUUAAUUCAAUUGAACAUUUUGUUUUAUGCAAUGUUCCUUCAGAGUAAAGGAAUGUGUAUGUUUAUUGUACAGUGAUACCAUUUUUCCAUCAGAUCAUUGAAUUAAAGAGAAUAAACACAU